rnacentral:tRNA from 1 species
AUUGGGAUGGCUGAACAUUAAGCAGUAAACUGUAAAUUUACUUAUGAAUUUAAAUUCUCUCAUUA